GACGAACGCUGGCGGCGUGCCUAAUACAUGCAAGUUGAGCGAUGAAGCUUGGUGCUUGCACCAAUUUGUAGAGCAGCGAACGGGUGAGUAACGCGUGGGGAAUCUGCCUUUGAGCGGGGGACAACAUUUGGAAACGAAUGCUAAUACCGCAUAACAACUUUAAACAUAAGUUUUAAGUUUGAAAGAUGCAAUUGCAUCACUCAAAGAUGAUCCCGCGUUGUAUUAGCUAGUUGGUGAGGUAAAGGCUCACCAAGGCGAUGAUACAUAGCCGACCUGAGAGGGUGAGCGGCCACAUUGGGACGGAGACACGGCCCAAACUCCUACGGGAGGCAGCAGUAGGGAAUCUUCGGCGAUGGACGAGAGUCUGACCGAGCAACGCCGCGUGAGUGAAGAAGGUUGUCGGAUCGUAAAACUCUGUUGGUAGAGAAGAACGUUGGUGAGAGUGGAAAGCUCAUCAAGUGACGGUAACUACCCAGAAAGGGACGGCUAACUACGUG
rnacentral:rRNA from 1 species